AAGUCGUAACAAGGUUUCCGUAGGUGAACCUGCGGAAGGAUCAUUAAUGGAAAAACCCAUGCUGUGGUCCGGAUACGGGGGGCUGUCGCUGGCAUCUGCAUCUGUAUAUGUACGUGCACGCUCCACGAGAAGGACUUGGCAUCCCAUCUACUUCUCACACACCCUGUGCACAACCGGCAAGGCUUCGGCCUGCGGUCAAUCUGCAGGAUAUUGGGGACAUGAAAUCCCCCCUUGUGAUUGCCGCCGCGCUGUCCACCUUGCCCAUUCUUUACAUGCCCCUUUAAAUUACAUGUUAGAACGGUGUUUCACGUGUGAUCGUCUCACACGAAACAAAUACAACUUUCAGCAACGGAUCUCUUGGCUCUC
rnacentral:misc_RNA from 1 species